rnacentral:rRNA from 2 species
UACGUACCGGACGAACGUUAUUCGGAAUUACUGGGCUUAAAGAGUGCGUAGGCGGCUUUGAAGGUGGGGUGUGAAAGCCCACGGCUCAACCGUGGAAUUGCGCUCCAAACCGCAAGGCUUGAGGAAGACAGAGGUGAGCGGAACUGAUGGUGGAGCGGUGAAAUGCGUUGAUAUCAUCAGGAACACCCGUGGCGAAGGCGGCUCACUGGGUCUUAUCUGACGCUGAGGCACGAAAGCUAGGGGAGCGAACGGG